rnacentral:rRNA from 1 species
AGAGUUUGAUUCUGGCUCAGGAUAAACGCUGGCGGCGCACAUAAGACAUGCAAGUCGAACGGACAAUUUUUGAUAGUUUUACUUUUGAAAUUGUUAGUGGCGGACUGGUGAGUAAUACGUAAGCAACCUGCCUAAUAGAGGGGGAAUAACAGUGAGAAAUCAUUUGCUAAUACCGCAUAUGCUCACAUUAUCACAUGAUAGAGUGAGGAAAGAAGCAAUUCGCUAAUAGAUGGGCUUACGACUGAUUAGAUAGUUGGUGGGUAACGGCCUACCAAGUCGACGAUCAGUAGCCGAACUGAGAGGUUGAACGGCCACAUUGGGACUGAGAUACGGCCCAGACUCCUACGGGAGGCAGCAGUCGGGAAUAUUGCGCAAUGGAGGAAACUCUGAACCGCAGUGACGCCGCGUGCAGGAUGAAGGUUUUCGGAUUGUAAACUGCUUUAGUCAGGGAAGAAACAAGACAGUACCUGAAGAAUAAGCACCGGCUAACUAUGUGCCAGCCGCGGC